rnacentral:rRNA from 1 species
AUUGAACGCUGGCGGCAUGCCUAACACAUGCAAGUCGAACGGAAACGAUGGGAGCUUGCUCCCAGGCGUCGAGUGGCGGACGGGUGAGUAAUGCUUAGGAAUCUGCCCAUUAGUGGGGGACAACUCGGGGAAACUCGAGCUAAUACCGCAUACGCCCUACGGGGGAAAGCGGAGGACCUUUCGGGGCUUCGCGCUAAUGGAUGAGCCUAAGUCGGAUUAGCUUGUUGGUGAGGUAAAGGCUCACCAAGGCGACGAUCCGUAGCUGGUCUGAGAGGACGAUCAGCCACACUGGGACUGAGACACGGCCCAGACUCCUACGGGAGGCAGCAGUGGGGAAUAUUGGACAAUGGGGGCAACCCUGAUCCAGCAAUGCCGCGUGUGUGAAGAAGGC